ensembl:lncRNA
CCCAGCUCCAGAUCCAUAACUUAAUCCCAUCUACAAAGUAGAGUCUCUUUUGCAAGAUAAGAAUAUGAGAGAAUUUUCACUUUGCUUGAAGGAGUACAAGGACCUCUUGCAGUCAAGAAACAAUUUGUUGAAUUUACCAUCAAGGAAGCUGCAAGGUUCAAAAGACGAGUCUUAAUUCAGUACCUUGAGAAGGUACUAGAAAAAAUAGAAUCCUAUCACCUUCUCAACAAUGUUAAUCACAUCAACAGCAGAUCAUGAUAUUACCGCAGAGACCAAGAAGGAGAAAAGAACAAGUUCUCUGUGUUGUAGGACAGAGCGGGAAAUUGUUGAACAUCCCAGGAUGUUUUACUCAAGGGAACUGGCUUCCAGAGGUUAAGAAAAAGCAAUGACAGCUUUCAUUUUCUGACUCUCUGGCAGUAAAAGCUGGCUUUGCCCUGUUUUCUUUGAAAGUACUAACUAGUUGUUUUUUUUGUUACUUUUCCCAAUUGAGGAAGGUGAUAUGAUUAAUCCAGCAGGUUCAGUUCAGUGAACACACACAAGUGACAAGGGUUCACUCUUGAGUUCAGUCAUCCUGGGCAUGUCCAGAGUGACUAGGGGCCACCUGCAGGCAGAGCACUACCUGAUGCUCUUACUAUGUCAUUUAGAAAGAAGAGGGGUUCAGAGUCCACCUGCUAAUUGUGUGUGUUCUGAACGAAGUUUUCAACAAUUCCUAGUUGUGCCUUUAAAACCAUGCAAUAUUCAGGACAGUUUGGAUCAAAGAGUGAGAAAGCUGCUAUUUGGGUAACUUAUUUCUCCAUGGGAGGGGGCAGGGAGAGUCACCAAAUGAUCUACCUCCAACUGUCUUCUAUUUUGUCUAGAGACAUUACAAAGUACGCCUGAGGCCACCCCCACCCCUGACGUUUGUUCUUGCAUGUGAUGCCAGAAAGGCUUCAGGUGGACUUGUGCAUUCUGUGCUUCAGAAGCACUAAAAAAAAAUAAUGUAGAUAUUUCCUUUAAUGUUUAUACAAAAGUUUUUAUGGAGCAGUAUUGUUAUGUUUGUAUUUGCAGAAAUUUAAGUGUACAAAGAGAUUUUGACUUUUCAUAUAUAAAAUAAAUCAUUUUAUUGAUUUUUCACAAGGUC